rnacentral:rRNA from 1 species
AGUGAACGCUGGCGGUAUGCCUAACACAUGCAAGUCGAACGGCAGCACAGUAAGAGCUUGCUCUUACGGGUGGCGGGUGGCGGACGGGUGAGGAAUACAUCCGAAUCUACUUUUUCGUGGGGGAUAACGUAGGGUAACUUACGCUAAUACCGCAUACGACAUACGGGUGAAAGCAGGGGAUCUUCCGACCUUGCGCGAUUGAAUGAGCCGAUGUCGGAUUGGCUAGUUGGCGGGGUAAAGGCCCACCAAGGCGACGGUCCGUAGCUGGUCUGAGAGGAGGACAGGCACCAUUGGACCUGAGAAACGGUCCAGACCCCUACGGAAGGCAGAAGUGGGAAAUUUUGGACAAGGGGGGCAAGCCUGAUCAAGCCAUACCGGGUGGGUGAAGAAGGCCUUCGGGUGGUAAAGCCCUUUUGUUGGGAAAAAAAAGCAGCAGGUUAAUACUCCGGUGUUCGAACGGAACGCAAAGAAUAGGCACCGGUAAACAUCUU